rnacentral:rRNA from 1 species
CCUACGGGGGGCAGCAGUGGGGAAUAUUGGACAAUGGGCGAAAGCCUGAUCCAGCAACGCCGCGUGAGGGAUGACGGCCUUCGGGUUGUAAACCUCUUUCGCUCAUGACGAAGCGCAAGUGACGGUAGUGAGAGAAGAAGGACCGGCCAACUACGUGCCAGCAGCCGCGGUAAUACGUAGGGUCCGAGCGUUGUCCGGAAUUAUUGGGCGUAAAGGGCUCGUAGGCGGUUUGUCGCGUCGGGAGUGAAAACCAUGAGCUUAACUCAUGGCUUGCUUCCGAUACGGGCAGACUAGAGGUAUGCAGGGGAGAAUGGAAUUCCUGGUGUAGCGGUGAAAUGCGCAGAUAUCAGGAGGAACACCGGUGGCGAAGGCGGUUCUCUGGGCAUUACCUGACGCUGAGGAGCGAAAGUGUGGGGAGCGAACAGGAUUAG